UUGUUUUGCCUGCUGCUAAAUGGCAUUUUUCAAACUGCUGAGUGUUCUAAUGAGAGAUGCCAAGGUGGACACUAUCACAAGCCCAGCUUUACCGAUCAGCCAGACAAAGCAGAGCGUUGCCAGCCAGCUGCUCAAUGGGGCUUAAUACAGUGGCAAGAUUUGCAGGGAAGUAAAGGCACUUCCGAUUCAUCAGCCUCCAGGAAAGUAUGUUUUCACCUUGGGUGCCGUUUUCCUAAACAGACAACUUCUAAUUAAACAAACAUCUCCCUCUCUGAAAUAUGCCCUGGAAAAAAAACUCCUAAAAUGAUAUUCCAGGAAUAUACACCUCUGCCUCUCCCCACCCCUCAAAAAUCCCUAUGACUAAUAUGUAUGGAAAAUAUCCUGAUUUUCUGCAAUUAAAGAAAGACAGAUCAAUGUUUAGAA